CCUACGGGCGGCUGCAGUGGGGAAUAUUGCACAAUGGGCGCAAGCCUGAUGCAGCCAUGCCGCGUGUGUGAAGAAGGCCUUCGGGUUGUAAAGCACUUUCAGCGGGGAGGAAGGCGUUAAGGUUAAUAACCUUGGCGAUUGACGUUACCCGCAGAAGAAGCACCGGCUAACUCCGUGCCAGCAGCCGCGGUAAUACGGAGGGUGCAAGCGUUAAUCGGAAUUACUGGGCGUAAAGCGCACGCAGGCGGUCUGUCAAGUCGGAUGUGAAAUCCCCGGGCUCAACCUGGGAACUGCAUUCGAAACUGGCAGGCUAGAGUCUUGUAGAGGGGGGUAGAAUUCCAGGUGUAGCGGUGAAAUGCGUAGAGAUCUGGAGGAAUACCGGUGGCGAAGGCGGCCCCCUGGACAAAGAUUGACGCUCAGGUGCGAAAGCGUGGGGAGCAAACAGGAUUAGAUACCCGAGUAGUC
rnacentral:rRNA from 1 species